GGGAAUGUGGCUCAGUGGUAGAGUGUUUGCCUAGUAUGCAUGAAGCCCUGAGUUCAAUUCCUCAGUACCA
rnacentral:tRNA from 1 species